UACGUAGGGGGCAAGCGUUUGUCCGGAUUUAUUGGGCGUAAAGAGCGUGUAGGCGGCCAGACAGGUCCGUUGUGAAAACUCGAGCUCAACCUCGAGACGCCGAUGGAAACCGUUUGGCUAGAGUCCGGAAGAGGAGAGUGGAAUUCCUGGUGUAGCGGUGAAAUGCGCAGAUAUCGAGAGGAACACCUGCGGCGAAGGCGGGUUGCUGGGCUGAUACUGACGUGAA
rnacentral:rRNA from 1 species